UAGUUCAGUUGGUUAGAGCAUGGUGCUAACAACACCAAGGUUGUGGGUUUGAUCCCCAU
rnacentral:tRNA from 1 species